rnacentral:lncRNA from 10 species
AAAGGUAUUGUUCAGUACUUUUCCAUUAAUUUUUCAAAGGUCUUGACCUCCUAAUGAAAAAUUUCUGACUAAAAGGGGUUUUCCUCACCACUCAGUUCCUUCUUCUGCUAGGUCCUACAGUGAAUCAAUAUCUCGUAUUUGGUCCUUCAGACAGUUGCCACGGAAAUGAGAGCUGCAAACACUUUCAGCUUUCUGGCUUCACUGUGGGAUCCAGCAUAGAACAUGAUUGAGCUGUCAGAGAACCUCCUGAAGGAAAGUUGUACCUGAUAAGUAAGAGUUUCCAGAAAAAUGGUGACACAUACAGGAAGAAAAAUAGAUUGUUUAACUCAGUCUGAAAAAUCCCUUUUGAUUCAUAAACUGUCUACAUGAUUGAAACAUACGAAACCAUCUCUUUCUCUAAGCAGAUUCUUCUCAAUUCACAUACAAGCACCUCAGGGGCAAAUAAAACUUCUCUGUGUAGGCAUGAGGAGGAAUCACUUUAGCAGAAGGAAAAUAAGGUGCUGUAGAAAUGAGAAAGUGCUGUAGAAAUGAGAACACAAAAUGCUAACCUGGAGGAGAGAGGGUGGCAGAGUGAGUGAAAGAGAGGGCAUCUGAUGCCGUUUAAAUCAUUUUUAAGGAAAACUAAACAUCCUGAUUGGAAAAAAAAAAAAAAAGGAAGUCACUGUGG